rnacentral:misc_RNA from 1 species
UUUUGCAUUGGUUUUACUAAGAGAAGGCCAAACCAGGUGAAAAGGACCUGUUAUGCACAAUCGAGCCAGAUCAGGCAGAUCCGCCGCAAGAUGAGAGAGAUCAUGGUAAACCAAGCAUCCUCCUGUGAUUUGAAGGAAUUGGUUCGCAAAUUCAUUCCAGAGUCAAUUGGGAAGGAGAUUGAAAAGGCAACAUCCAGUAUCUACCCACUUCAAAAUGUGUUUAUCCGGAAGGUUAAAAUCUUGAAAGCUCCCAAAUUCGAUCUUGGGAAGUUAAUGGAGGUUCACGGAGACUACUCAGAGGACGUUGGCGUAAAGGUUGAUAGACCUGCCGACGAAGCUGCAGUAGAG